CGGACGGGUGAGUAACGCGUAGGAAUCUACCCAGUAUGGGGGACAACAUGGUGAAGACCAUGCUAAUACCGCAUACGCCCUAUGGGGGAAAGCGGGGGACCUUCGGGCCUCGCGCUAUUGGAUGAGCCUGCGUCGGAUUAGCUUGUUGGUGAGGUAAAAGCUCACCAAGGCGACGAUCCGUAGCUGGUCUGAGAGGAUGAUCAGCCACACUGGAACUGAGACACGGUCCAG
rnacentral:rRNA from 1 species